CAGUAGCCGCGGGAAUACCGAGGGUGCGAGCGUUAAUCGGAUUUACUGGGCGUAAAGCGUGCGUAUGCGGCUAAUUGAGUCGGAUGUGAAAUCCCCGAGCUUAACUUGGGAAUUGCAUUCGAUACUGGUUAGCUAGAGUGUGGGAGAGGAUGGUAGAAUUCCAGGUGUAGCGGUGAAAUGCGUAGAGAUCUGGAGGAAUACCGAUGGCGAAGGCAGCCAUCUGGCCUAACACUGACGCUGAGGUACGAAAGCAUGGGGAGCAAACAGGAUUAGAUACCCGCGUAGUCCCUGUCUCUUAUAC
rnacentral:rRNA from 1 species